rnacentral:rRNA from 1 species
UACGUAGGGGGCUAGCGUUGCCCGGAUUUAUUGGGCGUAAAGAGCGUGUAGGCGGCCAGGUAGGUCUGGUGUGAAAACUCGAGGCUUAACCUUGAGAUGUCAUCGGAAACCAUUUGGCUAGAGUCCGGAAGAGGAAAGUGGAAUUCCUGGUGUAGCGGUGAAAUGCGCAGAUAUCAGGAAGAACACCAAUGGCGAAAGCAGCUUUCUGGGACGGUACUGACGCUGAGACGCGAAAGCGUGGGGAGCGAACAGG